rnacentral:rRNA from 1 species
UGGGGAAUAUUGCACAAUGGGCGCAAGCCUGAUGCAGCGACGCCGCGUGGGGGAUGACGGCCUUCGGGUUGCAAACUCCUUUCGCUAGGGACGAAGCUUUUUGUGACGGUACCUAGAUAAGAAGCACCGGCUAACUACGUGCCAGCAGCCGCGGUAAUACGUAGGGUGCGAGCGUUGUCCGGAAUUACUGGGCGUAAAGGGCUCGUAGGUGGUUUGUCGCGUCGUCUGUGAAAUUCCGGGGCUUAACUCCGGGCGUGCAGGCGAUACGGGCAUAACUUGAGUACUGUAGGGGUAACUGGAAUUCCUGGUGUAGCGGUGAAAUGCGCAGAUAUCAGGAGGAACACCGAUGGCGAAGGCAGGUUACUGGGCAGUUACUGACGCUGAGGAGCGAAAGCAUGGGUAGCGAACAGG